CAGCAGCCGCGGUAAUACGUAGGGUGCAAGCGUUAAUCGGAAUUACUGGGCGUAAAGCGUGCGCAGGCGGUUAUAUAAGUCAGAUGUGAAAUCCCCGGGCCCAACCUGGGAAUGGCGAUGGAUACUGGUUGGCUAGAGUGUGUCAGAGGGGGGUAGAAUUCCACGUGUAGCAGUGAAAUGCGUAGAUAUGUGGAGGAAUACCGAUGGCGAAGGCAGCCCCCUGGGAUAACACUGACGCUCAUGCACGAAAGCGUGGGGAGCAAACAGGAUUAGAUACCCCAGUAGUCCCUGUCUCUUAUAC
rnacentral:rRNA from 1 species